UACGGGGGGGCAAGCGUUGUUCGGAAUUACUGGGCGUAAAGGGCUCGUAGGCGGCCAACUAAGUCGGACGUGAAAUCCCCAGGCUCAACCUGGGAACUGCGUCCGAUACUGGAUGGCUUGAAUUCGGGAGAGGGAUGCAGAAUUCCAGGUGGUAGGCGGUGAAAUGCGUAGAUAUCUGGAGGAAUACCGGUGGCGAAGGCGGCAUCCUGGACCGACAUUGACGCUGAGGAGCGAAAGCUAGGGGAGCAACGGG
rnacentral:rRNA from 1 species